rnacentral:rRNA from 1 species
UCUGUCUCCUAUGACCCACAUUUUACUGAACCCCCCAUGUGCUAUAUGUUAAAGUUCUUAGUGCUGGUUAGUACUUGGAUGGGAGACCAACUAGGAAAGCUGGGUUGCUGCUGGAA